rnacentral:rRNA from 1 species
AACGAACGCUGGCGGCAGGCUUAACACAUGCAAGUCGAGCGCCCCGCAAGGGGAGCGGCAGACGGGUGAGUAACGCGUGGGAAUCUACCCAUCUCUACGGAAUAACGCAUGGAAACGUGUGCUAAUACCGUAUACGUCCUUCGGGAGAAAGAUUUAUCGGAGCUGGAUGAGCCAGCGUAGGAGUAGCUAGUUGGUGUGGUAAAGGCCUACCAAGGCGACGAUCCAUAGCUGGUCGGCGAGGAUGAUCAGCCACACUGGGACUGAGACACGGCCCAGACUGCUACGGGAGGCAGCAGUGGGGAAUAUUGUACAAUGGGCGCAAGCCUGAUCCAGCCAUGCCGCGUGAGUGAUGAAGGCCCGAGGGUUGUAAAGCUCUUUCACCGGUGAAGAUAAUGACGGUAACCGGAGAAGAAGCCCCGGCUAACUUCGUGCCAGCCGCCGCGGUAAAAC